AUCAGAACUUACAUAACUAGCAACCUUUAGUCACUGUGGUCUGAGCUAGGGUAUGAUCUUUAACCUCUGUUUUGCUCUCAAAGUCCAAAAACACACACACAAAAAAAAUUAUUUUCAUGUUAAUUAUUAAGCCAAUUAUUUUCCUACCGAUUUGUGGUCCAAAGUAGAAUCUCCAUUCUUUGUACUCUUGGAAGAGCAUAUUGGCAGUGGAAGAAAGGAAGAGGUGAGAGAAGCUCAAAUUCCUGCUCAGACUUCAGAAAGAAUAAGGAGAGGUGAAUAGUAGGAGCCUCUACCUCAAAGGCAUCAUAUAUACCUUAUAAUGGAAUUUACAGUAAACUGCCUCUCCAUUUGCAUUAA